UACGUAGGGGGCAAGCGUUGUCCGGAAUCAUUGGGCGUAAAGCGCGUGUAGGCGGUUCAGUAAGUCUGCUGUGAAAGUCCAGGGCUCAACCCUGGGAUGCCGGUGGAUACUGCUGGGCUAGAGUACGGAAGAGGCGAGUGGAAUUCCCGGUGUAGCGGUGAAAUGCGUAGAUAUGACAUAGAACACCGAUAGCGAAGGCAGCUUACUACAUGUUAAUUGACGCUGAGGCACGAAAGCGUGGGGAGCAAACAGG
rnacentral:rRNA from 1 species